CGAUUUUCUCGGCCUUUUGGGUAAGAUCAAAUGUAGUAUCUGUUCUUAUAAGUUCAGUACCUGAUACACCCUCCAUGGAGGGGGACCGUGUAUUAUACAAAUUUUUGGCAGAGGGACCCAGAAGUGGGACUUGCCCCGUCUGCUCCACGCAUCGACCCGGGUUUGUGGUGCCUGCAGGAAUGGUCCACCCCUG
ensembl:snRNA U2 U2 spliceosomal RNA